rnacentral:rRNA from 1 species
UACGUAGGGGGCAAGCGUUGUCCGGAAUUAUUGGGCGUAAAGAGCUCGUAGGCGGUGUGUCACGUCGGCCGUGAAAACCUGCAGCUUAACUGUGGGCGUGCGGUCGGUACGGGCAUCACUGGAGUUCGGCAGGGGAGACUGGAAUUCCUGGUGUAGCGGUGAAAUGCGCAGAUAUCAGGAGGAACACCGGUGGCGAAGGCGGGUCUCUGGACCAGCACUGACACUGAGGCACGAAAGCGUGGGGAGCAAACAGG